UACGUAGGGCGCAAGCGUUGUCCGGAAUUAUUGGGCGUAAAGAGCUCGUAGGCGGCCAGUUGCGUCCGCUGUGAAAUCCCGGGGCUUAACCCCGGGCGUGCAGUGGAUACGGGCUGGCUAGAGGCAGGCAGGGGAGAACGGAAUUCCCGGUGUAGCGGUGAAAUGCGCAGAUAUCGGGAGGAACACCGGUGGCGAAGGCGGUUCUCUGGGCCUUACCUGACGCUGAGGGGCGAAAGCGUGGGGAGCGAACAGG
rnacentral:rRNA from 1 species